rnacentral:rRNA from 1 species
CAAUAGCGUAUAUUAAAGUUGUUGCGGUUAAAAAGCUCGUAGUCUAAACUCAAUCGACGUUGCGUUUUCACUUAGUGGAGAUUGUAAACGUUGACACCUCUAUUUGGUGGUCGUUACUUUGAGGAAAUCAGAGUGUUUCAAGCAAGCUGUUGCUGUGAAUACUAAAGCAUGGAAUAAUGAUAUAGACAUUAACAUUUUUCAUUGGUUUAAAGGUUAGUGUAAUGAUUAAUGGAAACAGACAGGGGCAUUCGUAUUUAACUGUCAGAGGUGGAAUUCUUGGAUUUGUUAAAGACGAACUACUGCGAAAGCAUUUGCCAGGUAUGUGUUCAUUGA